GACGAACGCUGGCGGCGUGCUUAACACAUGCAAGUCGAACGAUGAAGCCGGAGCUUGCUCUGGUGAAUUAGUGGCGAACGGGUGAGUAACACGUGAGUAACCUGCCCUUGACUCUGGGAUAACUGCUAGAAAUGGUAGCUAAUACCGGAUACGACCCUCGGAGGCAUCUCCAGGGGGUGGAAAGAAUGUCGGUCAAGGAUGGACUCGCGGCCUAUCAGCUAGUUGGUGAGGUAACGGCUCACCAAGGCGCCGACCGGUAGCCGGCCUGGGAGGGUGAACGGCCACACGGGGACUGGGAGACGGCCCAGACGCCGACGGGAGGCAGCAGUGGGGAAUAUUGGACAAUGGGCGGAAGCCGGAUGCAGCAACGCCGCGUGAGGGAUGACGGCCUUCGGGUUGUAAACCUCUUUUAGUAGGGAAGAAGCGAAAGUGACGGUACCGGCAGAAAAAGCACCGGCUAACUACGUGCCAGCAGCCGCGGUAA
rnacentral:rRNA from 1 species